AGAGUUUGAUCCUGGCUCAGGAUGAACGCUAGCCGAUAGGCCUAACACAUGCAAGUCGAGGGGCAGCACAUGAAGUAGCAAUACGGAUGGUGGCGACCGGCGCACGGGUGAGUAACGCGUAUGCAACCUACCUACAACAGGGGGAUAACCCGUUGAAAGACGGACUAAUACCCCAUAAUACAGGGGUCCCGCAUGGGGAUAUUUGUUAAAGAUUAAUCGGUUGUAGAUGGGCAUGCGUUCCAUUAGCUGGUUGGUGAGGUAACGGCUCACCAAGGCAACGAUGGAUAGGGGAACUGAGAGGUUUAUCCCCCACACUGGUACUGAGACACGGACCAGACUCCUACGGGAGGCAGCAGUGAGGAAUAUUGGUCAAUGGACGCAAGUCUGAACCAGCCACGUCGCGUGAAGGAAGACGGCCCUACGGGUUGUAAACUUCUUUUGUAAGGGAAUAAAGUGAGUCACGUGUGACUUUUUGCAUGUACCUUACGAAUAAGGAUCGGCUAACUCCGUGCCAGCAGCCGCGGUAAUACGGAGGAUCCGAGCGUUAUCCGGAUUUAUUGGGUUUAAAGGGUGCGCAGGCGGGAGAUUAAGUCGGCGGUGAAAUUUUGCAGCUCAACUGUAAAAGUGCCAUCGAUACUGGUUUUCUUGAGUGUGGAUGAAGUAGGCGGAAUUUGUGGUGUAGCGGUGAAAUGCAUAGAUAUCACAAGGAACACCGAUUGCGCAGGCAGCUUACUAAACCAUAACUGACGCUCAGGCACGAAGGCGUGGGGAGCAAACAGGAUUAGAUACCCUGGUAGUCCACGCAGUAAACGAUGAUUACUAGCUGUUUGCGAUACAAUGUAAGCGGCUGAGCGAAAGCGUUAAGUAAUCCACCUGGGGAGUACGUUCGCAAGAAUGAAACUCAAAGGAAUUGACGG
rnacentral:rRNA from 1 species